rnacentral:rRNA from 1 species
UACGUAGGGGGCAAGCGUUGUCCGGAAUCAUUGGGCGUAAAGCGCGUGUAGGCGGCUGGGUAAGUCCGCUCUGAAAGCCCGGGGCUCAACCCCGGGAGGCGGGUGGAUACUGCUCAGCUCGAGUCCGGAAGAGGAGUGUGGAAUUCCGUGGUGUAGCGGUGAAAUGCGCAGAUAUCAGGAGGAACACCAAUGGCGAAGGCAGCACUCUGGGACGGUACUGACGCUGAGACGCGAAAGCGUGGGGAGCAAACAGG